rnacentral:rRNA from 2 species
GCCAUGAUCCAGCCAUGCCGCGUGAGUGAUGAAGGCCUUAGGGUUGUAAAGCUCUUUCACCGGGGAAGAUAAUGACGGUAUCCGGAGAAGAAGCCCCGGCUAACUUCGUGCCAACAGCCACGGUAAUACUAAGGGGGCUAGCGUUGUUCGGAAUUACAGGGGGUAAAGUGCAUGUAAGUGGAUGGGUCAGUCGCGGGUGAAAUCCCAUAGCUCAACUCUGGAACUGCCCUUGAUACUGACUAUCUAAAGUAAGGAAGAGGUAAGUGGAAUUCCGAGUGUUGAGGGGAUAUUCUUUAAUUGUUGGAAGAAAACAAAAGGAAAAAGCGGGAAAAUACGCCACUGCGGACCUUGACGUUGUUACUCGGUGAGUACGAACAAGAAAAAAGACCUUGACCCCCCUGCUUGUCCGGUUCCUGCGGAUGCCCCCUUUAAGUGGAUCUGGUGGCGUGUUAACUAUAGCGUAUCUAACCCUCGUGGGGAUUGCGCUGGCGCUGAUUGGGCUCAAGUUUGAAAUCAAGGAAAUUU